rnacentral:rRNA from 1 species
GGGGAAUAUUGGACAAUGGGGGCAACCCUGAUCCAGCCAUGCCGCGUGUGUGAAGAAGGCCUUCGGGUUGUAAAGCACUUUAAGCGGGGAGGAAGGCCUGAUGGCUAAUAUCCAUCGGGAUUGACGUUACCCGCAGAAUAAGCACCGGCAAACUUCGUGCCAGCAGCCGCGGUAAUACGAACGGUGCGAGCGUUAAUCGGAAUUACUGGGCGUAAAGCGCGCGUAGGUGGUUAAGUAAGCGAUCUGUGAAAGCCCCGGGCUUAACCUGGGAACUGCAGGUCGAACUGCUUGGCUAGAGUAUGGUAGAGGGGUGUGGAAUUUCCUGUGUAGCGGUGAAAUGCGUAGAUAUAGGAAGGAACAUCAGUGGCGAAGGCGACACCCUGGACCGAUACUGACACUGAGGCGCGAAAGCGUGGGUAGCGAAC